rnacentral:rRNA from 1 species
GAUGAACGCUGGCGGCGCGCCUAAUACAUGCAAGUCGAGCGAACGGACGAUUAUCUUGCUUUUCUGAUGUUAGCGGCGGACGAGUGAUUAACACGUGUAUAACCUACCUAUUAGACUUGUAUAACUUCGGGAAACCGGAGCUAAUACCGGAUAAUAUUUUGAACCUCAUGGUUCAAAAGUUAAUGACGGUCUUGCUGUCUCUUCUAGCUUGUUCCUCGGUGGAUUAGCUAGUUGGUAAGGUAACGGCUUACCAAGGCAACGAUGCAUAGCCGAACUGAGAGGGUGAACGGCGACACAGGAAGUGAGACACGGUACAGAGACCGACGGGAGGCAGCAGUAGGGAAUGUUCCGCAAUGGGCGAAAGCAUGACGGAGCAAAGCCGCGUGAGUGAAGAAGGUCUUCGGAUCGGAAAACUCUGUUAUUAGGGAAGAAAAUAUGUGUAAGUAACUGAGCACAUAGUGACGGUACCUAAAAAGAAAGCAACGGCUAACUACGUG